UAACUAAAUUAAAAUAUUUUAUUGAAUAUUAUAAAUUUAUGGCAUUUAAUUUUAUUAAAAAGUAAUUUAUAAAAUUAUAUAUAAAUAAUAAUUAAAUGAAUCAAAUGAUUUUAAUUCACUAUAUGAUUAUAAUAUAGUGAUGAUUUCUUAUGAUUUCAAUAAUUUAUUAUAUACAAAAUAAUAUAAAAGAUUUAGUAAGAUAUUAUUUUAUUUAUAAAAAUUAGGAUUAAUUUAUAAUGUUAAUAUUAAAAAACAAAUUUAUUUAAAUUUAAAAUUUUGUUUAUUAUUAAAGCGUAAAUAUAAUUAUUAAUAAUAUAUAGUAUUUGUAAUAAAAUAUCAAUAAUUAGAAAGAUUAUGAAAAUUAAAUUAGAAGUUACUAAAAACUAUAUUUUUAUUACUUAGAAUACUUGAAUAAUUUCUUUAAUCAUGUA
rnacentral:misc_RNA from 3 species